GUGCUCCCUUCGGCAGCACAUAUACUAAAGUUGGAAUGAUACGGAGAAGAUUAGUACGGCCCCGGCACAAGGAUGAGGCGCAGAUCCGUGAUGCCUAUCAAGUAAGU